rnacentral:ncRNA from 1 species
UGUUUUUAAGGUUCUAUUUUUAGAUUAAUUGGGAAGAGAGGUUAUAUUCCUCCACGGUCCCGCCACUGUGAUGUUGAUGAACGGAAAAGCCACUGACUAUUUUGUUGGGAAGGCACCUAGUAAGAUGAUGCUAAGUCAGGAGACCUGCCUUAAAAAUUUU